rnacentral:lncRNA from 1 species
AUGAAUUAUUUUUCUGUUUUCAGCACAAGCAGCGGCUCUGGAGCAGCUGUCAGGAGGUCAGUUUGUCAGAGGUGUCUUUGUUCCCCAGUUAAAGCAGCGUCUUUGUUCCGCAGGUUACAGCAGGGCCUUUGUUGGGCCUUAUCUGCGCUGCCCUUGAGCUCCCACCGCGCUUGUCAGGGAUGCUCUGGGUUCCUGGGCUGCGUUCCCGGGCUGGCAGCGCCUCCCAGGGCAGCUUUUUACAGCCGACAUCCUCUGUCCCCGUUUUUCUCCAUCAAACCCAGGGGAUUCUGGCUGCACCGAGAGCGGGAGGUGCCGGGCCCUGCUGGGGCCUUGCAGUGCAGAACUGACGCUGGUGGUGAGGUGGUUCCAGGAUCCUCCUCCAGGCAGAAUCGUGGCAUGGUUGAGGUGGGAAGGGACCACGGGAGGUCUGUAUCCAAUGUCUGGAUGAAGCGUGGUCAGCUCCAGGGACCCACCAGGAUCUCUGGAUCCCGGAGCCUCCAGAGCUGGAGGCUGCACAGCCCCACUGGCACCAGGUCCUGCUGCUUCUUCUCCUGGUGGAAAGCAUUUCCUGAUGUCCCUCCUGGCUCUCCCUCGUUCCAGCUGCUGCCGUGGUCUCUCCCAGCACUCUGUGGGGAAGAGCUUGGCUCUGUUUCCUCAAUCAUCUCCUUCCUUGGGAUGGGAAGGUCCCUGUUAGGUGUCCCCACCCCACACCGGUGUCAUCUCCAGCCCAUCUCCCUCCUCACCCCACCACGGCACCCUCCUGUUCCUCUGCGGCACCCUCUGCUCCGACUCCCGACCCCUCUGGAGUCAGGGAUCCAGACCUGGAUGAGCUCUCCUCACAGCAGAGGAGGGGACAGGGCCCCUCAAGCCCUGGAUGAUUGGAAUGAGCUUCCAGGUCACAUUUCCACAUUCCCAGCCAAGGCUCCUCUGCUCCUGCUCCUCCAGCUCCAAGAGCCAGCCGUGUCCCUGGGAUUUACAAUCCCUGGUUUUUCAUCACCGGGCAGGGGAUGGGAUUUUGGAAGGCUGGGUCAGUUUGGGAUGCAGGUGCCACUGGACAAGGCCGUGAGCAGAGGGGACACAUGGGAAACACUGGCUGCCCCAAGCAUGGUUUUGCUUUCCAAAACAGCUGCUUUUAACCCAAAUCCAACCCUCGGUUACUUCCCGCCGCCUCAGCUGCGCCUUCCCCUUUUCCUGGCACCAGCUCCGAGUCCGCAGGGUUUUAUCGGCCACAUCAGCGCUGUUUGCUCUCCUGCCAGGCUCUCGGGGGUGAGUAACUCACCAGCUGCUGGGGGGGUCACAAGACACCAAGAUAAACCUGUCAGACUCGAUAAUCACCGCAGCAGCAGCAGCCGGCGCUAA